GGCGGCCUACACAUGCAAGUCGAGCGGAAACGAAGAGGUGCUUGCACCUCUGGCGUCGAGCGGCGGACGGGUGAGUAAUGCUUGGGAAUAUGCCUUAUGGUGGGGGACAACAGUUGGAAACGACUGCUAAUACCGCAUGAUGUCUACGGACCAAAGUGGGGGACCUUCGGGCCUCACGCCAUAAGAUUAGCCCAAGUGGGAUUAGCUAGUUGGUGAGGUAAUGGCUCACCAAGGCGACGAUCCCUAGCUGGUUUGAGAGGAUGAUCAGCCACACUGGGACUGAGACACGGCCCAGACUCCUACGGGAGGCAGCAGUGGGGAAUAUUGCACAAUGGGCGCAAGCCUGAUGCAGCCAUGCCGCGUGUGUGAAGAAGGCCUUCGGGUUGUAAAGCACUUUCAGUAAGGAGGAAAGGUUAAGUGUUAAUAGCACUUAGCUGUGACGUUACUUACAGAAGAAGCACCGGCUAACUCCGUGCCAGCAGCCGCGGUAAUACGGAGGGUGCGAGCGUUAUCCGGAAUUACUGGGCGUAAAGCGUACGCAGGCGGUUUGUUAAGCGAGAUGUGAAAGCCCCGGGCUCAACCUGGGAACUGCAUUUCGAACUGGCUAAUUAGAGUGUGAUAGACGGUGGUAGAUUUUCUGGUGUAGCGGUUAAAUGCGUAGAGAUCUGAAGGAA
rnacentral:rRNA from 1 species